UUCCGGUUGAUCCUGCCGGACCUGACUGCUAUCGGAUUGGUACUAAGCCAUGUGAGUCGUUGUAGCAAUACAAGGCAUACGGCUCAGUAACACGUAGUCAAUCUAACCUAUGGACGGGGAUAACCUCGGGAAACUGAGGAUAAUACCCGAUAGAUCAUUAUACCUGGAACGGUUUAUGGUCCAAAUGAUUCGUCGCCGUAGAGUGGGACUGCGGCCUAUCAGCUUGUUGGUGAGGUAAUGGCCCACCAAGGCUAUUACAGGUACGGGCUCUGAGAGGAGAAGCCCGGAGAUGGGUACUGAGACACGGACCCAGGCCCUAUGGGGCGCAGCAGGCGAGAAACCUUUGCAAUGUGCGCAAGCACGACAAGGUUAAUCCGAGUGUUUCCUGCUAAAGGAAUCUUUUGUUAGUUCUAAAACCACUGAUGAAUAAGGGGUGGGCAAGUUCUGGUGUCAGCCGCCGCGGUAAAACCAGCACCUCAAGUGGUCAGGAUGAUUAUUGGGCCUAAAGCAUCCGUAGCCUGUUCUGUAAGUUUCCGGUUAAAUCCAUUAGCUCAACUAAUGGGCCGCCGAAAAUACUGCAGAACUAGGGAGUGGGAGAGGUAGACGGUACUCGGUAGGAAGGGGUAAAAUCCUUUGAUCUAUUGAUGACCACCUGUGGCGAAGGCGGUCUACCAGAACACGUUCGACGGUGAGGGAUGAAAGCUGGGGGAGCAAACCGGAUUAGAUACCCGGGUAGUCCCAGCUGUAAACGAUGCA
rnacentral:rRNA from 1 species